GCGCGGGUGGCGGAAUGGCAGACGCGGCAGCUUGAGGGGCUGUUGGGAGCAAUCCUGUGCAGGUUCAACUCCUGUCCCGCGCACCA
rnacentral:tRNA from 1 species